UUACUCCCUGAAGUUUACAUUUUAAUUUCCAAAAGUUCUCUGCCGUUAAAUUUUUUAACUCCGUUAGUUAAAGAAUUUUAACGGCAGAGACCUUUUGGGAAUUAAAAUGUAAACUUCAGGGAUUAA
rnacentral:pre_miRNA from 1 species